rnacentral:lncRNA from 1 species
GGAGCCGCCGCUUUGGUCACAGUGACCGCCACCAUUGCCCGGGGAUGGGUCCCUGAGACUUGGCGAAGUAGGAGCCCUGUGUGAUCGUGCGUCAGAGUCGGGGCUGAGACCAGCCCUGGCCAGGGCAGUUACCAGGACGGUCUCCGGAGGCCGAGAUUCGCGGAGGGUCCACCAGUAGGAAGAAACCCCAGGAGGAAGAAACCUCAGACAGAUCGCCGGGGAGGCAGCGCGGGAUCCCAGCCUCAGGCGUGCGCGGACGGUGUGCGGAGUCUAGCUUUGUACCAGGCUGCAGUGCAGUAGUGCCAUCUCAGCUCACUGCAACCUCUGCCUCC